AUCCAAUGGCAGCAAGUGAGAGGAGAAGAGUGUGAGGAUGACAUCUAGAUCAUAAUCCAACGGUUCCGAUGAGUCAACUGAGAGUUAAGACAUUUUCUUUUAAAUCAGGCGACUGAGAUAUAACUACACUUAAUCACAAUCUUUCGGAGGAUGCAUGGCAUGGAGGGUGGCCUUUUUCUUUUUUUCCUCUCUCUAUCUCUCACUUCCUCCAACCUCCCUAGUUGUCUCCUCUGCUUCUUUCCUCCGACUUUGCCGGCCGGAAAGGGAGAGGAGGGCUACUUCUAUGUAUUACUACAUCAUAGUACUGUGUUGUUGUUAGUUGUCUUUGUUUUUUUUAUAUAUUGCUCUAAAUCAGGGAGUGGGCGUCCUCUUUCCCUUGUAUUGGCACCUGCUCGACUAGAUGUCGCCAGACGCCAGCGACGAGCUCAAUAAUGGUACUUUUCUGUUCUCACAUGCCUUCAAUAAACUUUUACACAUCUAGAACAUAUAAGAAGAAAGGUAGUACCACUUUAGUUGGAGGACACUUGAUAUUUUG
rnacentral:lncRNA from 1 species